rnacentral:rRNA from 1 species
AAUCAACGCUGGCGGCGUGCCCAACACAUGCAAGUCGAGCGAGAAAGGGGCUUCGGCCCUGAGUAAAGCGGCGCACGGGUGGGUAACACGUGGGUAAUCUGCCCUGGAGUGGGGAAUAACACCGGGAAACCGGUGCUAAUACCGCAUACGAUGGCGAGGUCUGCGGAUUUCGUCAUGAAAGGAGCAAUUCGCUCCAGGAGGAGCCCGCGGCUGAUUAGCUAGUUGGUGAGGAAUGGCUCACCAAGGCUCCGAUCAGUAGCCGGUCUGAGAGGACGGUCGGCCACACUGGAACUGAGACACGGUCCAGACUCCUACGGGAGGCAGCAGUGGGGAAUUUUUGGCAAUGGGGGAAACCCUGACCAAGCAACGCCGCGUGGAUGAUGAAGUCUCUUGGGACGUAAAAU